GACAGUCCCACCCCAGGGGCGUGCCCAUGAAGGCCCAGGGGGUUAUAAGCCAGAGCACAAGACCAGUCUGUGGUUUGGAUUAUGUUUUCUCCUGGUGUUUUUGUGUUGGCAUUACUGGAAGCUGAGCAGUUGGUACCUAUUUCAGAGAAGAGCUGAUAGAAGCAUUCCCCAGGUAACCUUGAUGCUGAAUGUCUCCUUAGGAGGUCUGGGCACAGAGAAGAAUGAGCCCCUUGAGGGCUGACCCUAUUUGGACAAGCUGCUCCUCAUCCCUCAGCGUCACCAUGUCUGACAUGGCCCAACUGGCACUGACAUCCCUGUGCUCUCCAGCAGAUCCAUGUCCCCUGAGCUCUGCAGCUCCAUGUCCAGCCCAUUGCACCAUGUACCACCUGCUCUCCUCAGGGCUCUGCCUGCACAUAGGGCCAGGAGAAGUUUUCCUGUGUGGAAGGAUGGCAUGGAAAAGCCUGGGCGAGUUUCCUGAACAGCAAACCCCACUCAGGAACCACCUGCUCAGUCCAGGCUGCCUGGAAUGGUGUCACCUUUCUCCAAGGGACAGUGUGAGCAGAAAUAAUCUCUGGAAGCAGAAUUCUCUGAGUCUCCCAGCUGAAUUCUCUAUCCCUGUCCUUUCCCUGGACCUGUGUUGCAGAUGGAAGCUGCUGGUGCCAUCCUCACCUUUAGCCUCUCUCUUGAAUGCAAACAGAUGUUCCCAGCUGUGUUAAGCAGGAUUUGCUCAAUGUUUCUACAAAAUUUUUGUCUUCCUCAUGAAAUGAAGGGACUAUUUUGGAACUGAGGGGUGACGUGGAAGCGAGGAGUCAGUUGUGACCCUGGAGUGCCAUGGAACCAAGGGGCCAUGGUGACACAGCAGGGCCACGUGGAUACAGUGGUCCAUUGUGACACUGUGGAUCCGAGGAGACCAUGGGACACCCCCAGGACCUCAUGGAACCAAGGAGUCCAUGGUGACCCAGCAGGGCUGCAUGGAGCCAAUGGUCCAUGGUGACACUGCCCAUCCAAGGAGUUCAUUUGGCCACUGUGGAAGCUCAUGGAGGGAGGGAGGCCAUUGUGACACUGAAGAACUU